AAGAAAACAAAAUGGCGAACAAGGGAAUAUUUUCAGUUCGAUUCAGGCUUUUAAAAUUCAUACUGUGGAUUAUACAACUGCAUACAGAGAAGACAAAAGUCAAGAUGAAGCUCAAUUUAAAAACUGAUCCAAGGAUACAUGUUGGACCCAAGAAAACUUGUUCAUAUUGAACAAUUAUUUUUUUAAUAUUCUGAAUGAAUAUGGUAAUUAAAAAAAGAAAAUAUAAA